rnacentral:rRNA from 1 species
CAGCCGCCGCGGUAAUACCGGCGGCCCGAGUGGCGGUCACUUUUAUUGGGCUUAAAGCGUCCGUAGCCGGGUUGGGAAGUCCUCCGGGAAAUCUGGCCGCUUAACGGUCAGAAUGCCGGAGGAUACUCCCAGCCUAGGGAGCGGGAGAGGCCGAGGGUAUUCCCGGAGUAGGGGGGAAAUCCUAUAAUCCCCGGAGGACCACCUGUGGCGAAGGCGCUCGGCUGGAAAGCGUCCGACGGUGAGGGACGAAGGCCAGGGGAGCAAACCGGAUUAGAUACCCGGGUAGUCCUGGCUGUAAACGAUGCGGACUUUGUGUCGGACAAGCUAUGAGCUUGUCCGGUGCCGGAGGGAAACCGUUAAGUCCGCCGCCUGGGGAGUACGGCCGCAAGGCUGAAACUUAAAGGAAUUGGCGGG